rnacentral:rRNA from 1 species
UACGUAGGGUGCAAGCGUUGUCCGGAAUUACUGGGCGUAAAGCGCGCGUAGGCGGCUUUGCAAGCCGGAUGUGAAAUCCCCGGGCUUAACCUGGGAACUGCAUUCGGGACUGCAUUGCUAGAGUAUGGGAGAGGGAAGUGGAAUUUCAGGUGUAGCGGUGAAAUGCGUAGAUAUCUGAAGGAACAUCAGUGGCGAAAGCGACUUCCUGGACCAAUACUGACGCUCAUGUGCGAAAGCGUGGGGAGCAAACAGG